rnacentral:rRNA from 1 species
UACGUAGGUGGCAAGCGUUGUCCGGAUUUACUGGGCGUAAAGAGCGCGCAGGCGGUUGUGCAAGUCGCGUGUGAAAGCCCCCGGCUCAACUGGGGAGGGUCACGCGAUACUGAUCGACUCGAAGGCAGGAGAGGGAAGUGGAAUUCCCGGUGUAGUGGUGAAAUGCGUAGAUAUCGGGAGGAACACCAGUGGCGAAGGCGACUUCCUGGCCUGUUCUUGACGCUGAGGCGCGAAAGCUAGGGGAGCAAACGGGG